UAUUGCACAAUGGGGGGAACCCUGAUGCAGCGACGCCGCGUGGGCGAUGGAGUGCUUCGGCAUGUAAAGCCCUAUCAGCAGGGAAGAAAAUGACGGUACCUGACUAAGAAGCCCCGGCUAAAUACGUGCCAGCAGCCGCGGUAAUACGUAGGGGGCAAGCGUUAUCCGGAUUUACUGGGUGUAAAGGGAGCGUAGACGGCCAGACAAGUCAGAAGUGAAAGCCCAGGGCUCAACCCUGGGACUGCUUUUGAAACUGCCGGGCUGGAGUGCAGGAGAGGUAAGCGGAAUUCCUAGUGUAGCGGUGAAAUGCGUAGAUAUUAGGAGGAACACCAGUGGCGAAGGCGGCUUACUGGACUGUAACUGACGUUGAGGCUCGAAAGCGUGGGGAGCAAACAGG
rnacentral:rRNA from 1 species